rnacentral:misc_RNA from 1 species
GAUGAAGAACGUAGCGAAAUGCGAUACUUGGUGUGAAUUGCAGAAUCCCGUGAACCAUCGAGUCUUUGAACGCAAGUUGCGCCCGAAGCCAUUAGGCCGAGGGCACGCCUGCCUGGGCGUCACACGUCGUUGCCCCCCCACCUACUCCUUCGGGAUUGCGGGGGGCGGAUGAUGGCCUCCCGUGCGCCUCGUCGCGCGGUUGGCAUAAAUGCCAAGUCCUCGGCGACGCACGCCACGACAAUCGGUGGUUGCGAAACCUCGGUUGCCCGUCGUGUGCGGUCGUCGCGCAUCGAGGGCUCGAAAAAAUUGCCGGGCUCCGGCUCGGCUUUCAACGCGACCCCAGGUCAGGCGGGGUUACCCGCUGAAUUUAAGCAUAUCAAUAAGCGGAGGA